rnacentral:rRNA from 1 species
UAGCACAAGUAAUUGUCUUUUAAUUGUAGAAGUGAAUGAAAGGCACCACGAGGAUUAAGCUGUCUCCUUUCUCCAAUCAAUGAAACUAAUCUUCUCGUGAAAAAGCGAGAAUAACCCCAUAAGACGAAAAGACCCUAUGGAGCUUUAAACAACUAACACCUGCUCACAGUACCCCGAGCACCCUGAUUACAAGUUUUUGGUUGGGGCGACCACGGAGCACAACACACCCCCCGCGUUGAAGACACUUCGUAAAUAAAUAAGCAACAGCUUUAUGAAUCAAUAAAUUGACACAAUUGACCCAAUAUUUUGAUCAACGAACCCAGUUACCCUAGGGAUAACAGCGCCAUCCGCUUCAAGAGCAC